rnacentral:lncRNA from 1 species
CUAAAUAAGAAUUAUGCCUUUUGGAGAAGUUCCAGUGAGAAGUGUUUCAAUUAUCUAUUGCUGCAUAUAAAACUUCUUCAAAACUUAGCAGCUUAAAACAGUAACAAUUUGAUUAUUUUUCAGAAUUCUGUGGUUCAGGAAGUCAGAAGCAACACAGCAGGGAUUACUCAUCUCUGCUUCAUAUGAUACCUUCUGGGGCUGAAGGAGCCAAGAUGGUCUCUUCACUCAUGUAUCUGGCAACUCACCUCGGAUGGUUUGAACAGAUGGGGCUGACUGAAACAACUCAACUAGUGUUGCAUGUCUGGGGUCUAGGAUCUUGCUGUUGGCUAGGCUCUUCAAUUAUCAUCCAGGCUGAUGCAAUCCCAUGGGGGAACCUGUCUGGUAUCCAGAGGAAAAUAGCAUGGAAUGAGAGUCUUAGGAGAAGUAAGAGACACUUUUUCCCUUGACACUUUUUAAAAGGCUCAUCUUUCUUUUGCUUCUCACUGUCAAAAUCACAAGACUUCAAGAUCUAAGUUACUAGGGCCCACACUAAAGGAAAGGAACCAAGGAGUCUACUUAAUCUAAUUCGAAUCUAAUAGGUAAAAGGAAUUUUCCUGUUGAUACAGGGCCUGUUGAUACAGGUCAAGAAUCCCAGAAAGGAGUUGGGAAUCCUGUCGUAUUAGUAAUAACCACCACUGGAAUUAUAAUAGACAACAGAUACAGAAUUUGAAGAGUCAGGGUCCCAGCCGUCUUUCUACCUCCUUCCAGGAAGCACAAACAAAUAUGGCAUUAAGCCCUGCCAGUAUUGCAAUUUUCAUUCUAACCUGAAAAAAACACUUAGGUCUGUUUAGAGGGCUUUUAAUUCAAAC